UAACUACUCCCUACAUCCGGAAAUACUUGUCGAAGAAUUGGAGAGAAAUGAAUGUAACUAGACGUAUUUUAAUUCUACAUACAUCCAUUUUUAUUUAUUUCUCCGACAAGUAUUUCCGGACAGAGGGAGUACCAC
rfam:Triticum aestivum genome assembly, contig: Triticum_aestivum_CS42_TGACv1_scaffold_513254_6BS